rnacentral:rRNA from 1 species
GAUGAACGCUGGCGGCGUGCCUAAUACAUGCAAGUCGAGCGAACGGACGAGAAGCUUGCUUCUCUGAUGUUAGCGGCGGACGGGUGAGUAACACGUGGAUAACCUACCUAUAAGACUGGGAUAACUUCGGGAAACCGGAGCUAAUACCGGAUAAUAUUUUGAACCGCAUGGUUCAAAAGUGAAAGACGGUCUUGCUGUCACUUAUAGAUGGAUCCGCGCUGCAUUAGCUAGUUGGUAAGGUAACGGCUUACCAAGGCAACGAUGCAUAGCCGACCUGAGAGGGUGAACGGCCACACUGGAACUGAGACGCGGUCCAGACUCCUACGGGAGGCAGCAGUAGGGAAUCUGCCGCAAUGGGCGAAAGCCUGACGGAGCAACGCCGCGUGAGUGAUGAAGGUCUUCGGAUCGUAAAACUCUGUUAUUAGGGAAGAACAUAUGUGUAAGUAACUGUGCACAUCUUGACGGUACCUAAUCAGAAAGCCACGGCUAACUACGUG